CGAGAACAAGAGGAGGAAGCUCUCUGAGAGGCGUCGGGAGAGGGGGGGGGGGCAUCACAGAUAGCGCCACCCCAAGGAAGGCGCGGGCAGGCGGGCGCGUGGCCCUGCUUCCCUGUGGGGGUAUGAGGCUCAGAAAGGUGCAGGGCGCACUGCUGAUCUGACCCGAGCCCCCUCCUCAGGUUGCCCACCUGGAUGGGGAGAGGUGGGACAGUGGCUGACGCUUGACCUUCCAGCCUUCCAGAGGGCUGGGCAAAGCGGUAUUACAGCAUCAGGCUAUGAGGUCCACUGAACCGCACUGUGGCCCCUACAUAACCAGUGUCUGUGCAUCUCAUUGACUUUCUAGUACCGAGAAGUUCCGAAUUCCGCGACAACUCUGGUCCUGAGGGGUGCGGACAUGUAGAUGAGACCAGGUCAGGGUGCUCAUUACAGCUCGUGAUGAGAAGGCAUUUGGAGUCAGGGGCUGAGACCUGGUGUCGCAACACGUCCCAAGGAGUUCCAGCGUGCUGGCGCUCCCCUGGGCUGGAGGGCUGCUCCCUGGGACCCGUUGUUCGGGAGCCAACUGGGAUUGAGGAAGCGUCUGUCAGCCCCAGGCUGCCUGUGGUCUGUUAGGAAUCAGUACCUCAGUGUCCUGUAGGAAGCACAGCAAAAACCUGGGUCAGUGGACACACGGCUUAGGCGGGAGUUGGUACAUUGUUGGGUCAUUUCGGGUCAUUAAUGCAGAUCGCACCCUGUAUCCUUCCUUCAGUUGUCGCCCAAAUGCCAGGGCUCAUCCAGGGCAUGGGCAGGGCGCCCUGGUCGGCGGGCAGUUGGGCAGGUCCUGGAAGGCAGUCAGUACUGCGCUUGGUCUCCCCGUUUAUUUAGCUGACUCCGUCUGCGAAGGACAAGCCCUGUGGUGCUGGUAUUAGGCCUUGUGUUCUGGGAUUGGAGGGGCAGAGAUCACUGUAAGCGGCUCUUCGGCCUCCCUUAGGGUGGGGACAUACUUGCUUUCUGGUUUUCUAGCCAGACAGCUAUGUAAAGGGCGGUGUGUAUCUGCAUCUGCACUGCUGAGUUGCCCUCUGGUUCACUGUCCAGCACUUUGACGCUUUUCCUGGUACUGAGCGAAUGAUGGGCUGUAAGCUCUUCAUGCCUCGGGCUGGUUGUGCAGGCCUGUGUCUGCUGCACGCAUGCAGGGGUGGGGGUGUUUGUCUCCCCCCCGGGGGUCAGCAGACCUGGACUUACCCGGCUCCGCGCUGUCUGCAUCCUCCUGCCUGGGCCGAGGUGCUCUCGGGUGCGAACGGGAGACCACAGCGGGUAGUGGGAGGAGCCAUGUGAGCCUGACACCGCGGUGACUUCCCCGUCCCGAGAGGAAGCUCACCAGCACUGUGAAAGGUCCAGAGAGGUGGCCACGUGUCAUCAGUGUGAUCUGUGCCAUGGGCUCAAGGGAAAAUGCCAUUAUUCCUCUUUUACUUCAGCUGAUCCCUAAUGACAGCAGGAAGCCCAGCGUCUCCGAUCGGGGGACAUGCAGUCAUCCAGUGCCAGGCAUUGAGGGAACUGGAAAGACUCUUUGGUCCUGCACCCUGUUGCUGCUCUGCCCCGGAUCCUCUUCAGGCCCAGGGGUGCUUGUCGGCUGCGUGGGGGUGGUCCUUGUUGCUCCAAGUCCCUGCCAGACCUUGGUGACAAGGCAGCUGGAGGGUGAGGGGGGAGGAGGCUGGCUCUGCAGGGCCUUUAGCAUCAGCUCCUUCCCGAGAGAAAGCAGCAAGCCCUGUAUCCCCGCCGUUCUCAAACUCCAGCGUGACAGCGUCCACUGCAGGCAUCCUCAAAGAUGCAGUCUCAGACCAAACUGCCAAAACCCUGUUCCUCAGACCCGGGUGGUGGCGCCCGUGCGUCUGCAUUGAAUGAGGUCCAGGUGAUUCUUUCCGGGGCAUCUGUGGCCACACUCUGAGGCCCUGUAGCAACAGGCCUCACCCUGAUGCAGGCCUGGGGCCCCAGCUACCUCAAAAGACCUAAUUUUGACUCUUAGAAAGUUGGGGUGAGCAGUGUCCCACACCCUUCCCAGGUCCCUGCUUUUGCAGAGAUGAGGAGACCGCAAGUGGGCCUCUUGACCAGGGGAAGCACCUUCUCCCCUCUGGAGAAGCUGCAGCCCCACGUGGUGGUGAUGCCAGGGUCGUCCCAGCCUGAAGGAGACUCCUGAGGACACAGGCGCCCUGGCAGUGGGCCCGCAUUUGUCUCUGCUGCAGGCCCUGGUGGCCCCGGGAGGUGCUGGACGCUCCAGCUUCUAUCAGGUCCUUUUUCUUCAGGCCCCCCUAGGGCGGGGCAUGGCGGCGCCGAGGGAAGUCCUCUGACUUGGCUGACCAGCAAGAAACGCGCCAGGCCUGUUACCGGCUGUCUGCCUGGUGCCAGGAGCUGUCCUUGCGGGGCCUUGGGUCAAGCUGGGUUAGGAAAAGUCUGGACCCCAGGGCUCUGGUUCUGUGGCCUCGGGUGGCCUUCCUCCUUCUCAGUGCCAGUUUCCUGCUGGAAGGAGAGCGGGAGCUCAGGGCUCAGGGCUGACGAGAGAGCUGGGGCCGCAGUGGUGCUGGCGGUGAGCUCCACCCUGGCAGACGUGGGCCACACUGCUGUGAGAACUUGGGGAAGUCACUUAAGCCCCCGUGCCUCAGUUUUCUCAUCUGUGAAAUAGGGACAACAUGAGGAAACUGAGGCUCAGAGGGCAUAUUAAGGAGGGCAGUGGGCUCCUCGCCGCCCCCUUCAUUGUAGGGCUGGGUAUUCCUGGCCAUUUGUUUCUAGUUCCCUCCCAAAAGCCUGUAAGAAAGAUCUGUUAUCAAGUCUGAGCUUUGGAGCCACUGCAGGGGAUAAGUCAGUGUGGCCACCAGGAGGGAGACAACGUUCACUGCCUGUUCCCACCCCUGCCUGAGGCCACAGCCCCAGUGGCAGGAUCUGCCAGCAGAGACCCAGGCCUGACCAUAGACAGCAAGGGGGCGUCUGGGUGGGGGAUCUGCGGGCCCAGCCUGGCCCCAGGGGGCCCAGUGAAUGUCAGGGGGAACAGAGUGAAAUGUAAUGCUGGUGAGAGGAGAAUCGGGCUGAGAAGUAGAGUGGGCCAGGGCCCGCUGGUGAUCUGGGAGCUUGGUGCCAGUUUGUUAUCUCAUGGCUGGAGAGAGGGGAGUUGAAGGAAGGGUGACAGGCAAGGAGCCGGGCUGUGGCCUGGCCCUGCCUGCAGCCUCAGGUGUGCAGCUGGAGGAGCCACCCUGCCCCCGAGAGGGUCCCCCCUAGCAAGGGCCACCUGCGUGACUGCACACGCCCCUCUGGGACCCUUCCAGCAGGGCCAGCUUGCGCAGGAAUUGGCAACAUCGCCUCCCUGUCUCCAGCUCUCCCUGGGUGGCCGAGGCUCUUCUCCCGGACAUGCUCAUGCAGCUCCCACCAUCCUCGAGAGCUGUCGCGCUUGGGUCCAAAGACCCAGGUUCACCAGUGUGGGCAGGGCCUCACAUGCCCUCUGAGAGCCGAGGGGGCUGUGUGCACAGGAGGCUCUGGAUUCCUGUCCGGCUGCCCCCUGCCUGGUCCAAGAUGGUGCCGCCUCUGUCUCCUCCUGGUGCUGUUUGUCUUUGCUCCUUUUCUUACCCAGGCUUGGGCUCUUGCCUCUGGAGUCCUUAUCUGUUCAAGGUUGGUGGGUGCCUCCAGCUCUUGUCAACGCUGGGGUUUGGGAAGGCUGGUUAGGAAUGAGAGGAGGGCUCUCCCCCAGCUGGAGUCCUUGGGGUGUCCCGGAGAACUGGGGGAGCAGCCCAGGGACCUCCUGUGGGUGACCACAGGGGCUGGAGGCAGUACAGAGGGGGUGGGGGGGUGCCACAAGGACCCCAGCCCAGCAGGGCAGUGGAGUGGGUUGGAUCUGAGGCUGAGGUGAGGCCAGAAGAGGAGGACAGGGACCGAGUCCGGGCCGAUGCAGUGCAGGGAGCAGGUGGAGGGGAGUGGUGCCAGGAGAUGACAGUGGCCACAUGGGCUGAGGGGCCACCCUCUUCAAGCACGUGAGGCCAGUGUGUGUGCCGUGCAGUGGGUCAGUGUCAUCCUGCAUGGCUCCCUCAGUUCAGUUAAGGUGACAAGGGACUACAAAAUGUGAAGCCAUGAAGGACACCUUGGUUCCUUCCAGCCCUGACCCUGGGCACCAGCAAUGAGCCGGAUGCCACCAACUUCAAGCACUGGGACACAAAGAGCAGCUCUGCGGGCCAAGUGGGUCAACGCAGCCUUCUCUUCCCGCCAGCCUCUCUCCUGAUGCCACCUGACUGGUUCCCAUGUCUGUCUUCCUCCUGCCUGUGACCCAGGGACCAACCCCACUGGAGGUUCUCGGUUGCGAGCUUUACCUGCUGUCGAGAGAAUACAGGACACAGGUGAGCCGUGCAAGCCUGGGUGGUGGCACCUCGUCUGAGGGAGACAUGGGACAGCACGUUCCCUUAGCUCCAUCCAAGUGCACGUUGGCCCCCAAGAAGCUGUGACCUCUGACACUGCCCGAGGCUCCCUGGGAGUCCAGAGUCCCCAUUUCUGACCCAGAGGAGACGGGAAACGGUAAACGUGAGUGGAAAUGUGUUGGGUGAGCCCAGACCAACGGGGAUGUUAAAGAUACUGAAAUGAGAAGCGGCUGGCAUCUCUUCCUCCCUGGACCUCCAGGGGUGAGGGACGGGCGGACAGAGCUGGGGGUCUGAAGCACUGACGGUGGGGCCCAGUCCUUGCUCUGCUCCUGCAGAGAGUGACCUUGGAAAUGUGCCCACUCUAAGCCUCAGUGUCACAACUGCACAGUGGAUGCCACGGUGCACUUUCUGCAGGGUGGUGAUGGGGGUUACUGUACGGGAGUCCCUGGCCCAGAGCAGAUGCUCUGUUCAUCAGACAUUUUGACCAGGCCUUUGUCUCAAUAGCCACAUCCAGUACCAUUGCAGACAUCCUACGAAGGCUCAGAUGGAGGUGACAGAAGGAAGGAGCCGGCACCUGAGAUUAAGGCCUGGUGGGCAGGAGUCCUGCUGCUCCAGUCCCGGGCCUCGCCAGAAGGGCCCCACCACCUCCAUCCCAUGGGUGCUGGAAAACUGGUCUGGAAUCAAACCUGCAGUAUCUCUGAGGUCUGCCUGUAAUAGGAACCUAAUAACUAAGUGUGUUCACCAAACCUGCAGCCUAAUGUGAAGGGAGGAGACUAAGAUGGUGGGGACAGAAGGAUGUGGAGCUCGUCCCCCCCACCACAAACACAUCAAAAAUACAACGACAGCUGGAACAAGUCUCACAGAAGAUACACAACUAAAGCUGCAAGACCCCCAUGUAACCGGGUAGGACUAAAGGAAAAGGGGGGGUGGCACCUGUGCCCUGGAGGGAGCCCCUUCACCAGCAGGGAGACCAGCCUGGACAGAGAGGGGGCAUCAGGGGCUGGGAGGAGAGCCCAGCAGCCGCUCUGAGACGGGGGGACAGAGAGACUCCAAGUGGCUUAAAAACUUAUGACACCAUAAAACUCCUAGAAGAGAACACAUGCACAGUGUUCUCUGACAUAAAUCACAGUAAUAUGUCUGUAGUUCAGUCUCCCAAGGCAAUAGAAAUAAAGGCAAAAAGAAACAAAUGGGACCUAAAUUUAUAAGCUUUUUGCACAACAAAGGAAACCAUAAACAAAACGGAAAGACGACCUAUGAACUGGGGGAAAAUAAUUACAAACGAUGUGACUGACAGGGGCUUAAUUUCCAAAAUAUGGACAGCUCAUACAACUCAAUAUCCAAAGAACAAAUAACCCUAUCAAAAGGUGGGCAGAAGACCUAAAUAGACAUUUCUCCAAAGGAGACAUACAGAUAGCCAACAGGCACGUGAAAAGAUGCUCCACAACAUUAAUUAGCAGAGGAAUGCAAGUCAAAACCACAACGGGGUAUCACCUCACACCAGUCAGAAUGGCCAUCAUCAAAAAGUCUACAAAUAAUAAAGGCUGGCGAGAGUGUGCAGAAAAGGGAGCCCUCCUGCACUGUUGGUGGGAAUGUAGUUUGGUGCAGCCACUAUGGAGGACAGCAUGAUGAUUCCUCAAAAAACUAAAAAUAGACUUAACUUGUGAUCCAGCAAUCUCACUCCUGGGCAUAUAUCCAGAGGGAACCCUAAUUUGAAAAGAUACAUGCACCCCAACAUUCAUAGCAGCACUAUAUACAAUAGCCAAGACCUGGGAACAAUCUAAUCCACAGAUGACUGGAUAAAGAUGUGUGUGUGUGUGUAUACACACAAAUAUACACAAUGGAAUAUUAUUCAGCCAUAAAAAGAAUGAAAUAAUGCCAUUUGCAGCAACAUGGAUGGACCUAGAGAUCACUAUACAAAAUAAGCCAGAAAGAGAAAGAAAAAUACCAUAUGAUGUCACUUAUAUGUGGAAUCUAAAAAAAAUAAUACAGAUCAUCUUAUUUACAAAACAGAAACAGACUCUCAGACAUAGAAAACAAACAAGAUUACCAAAGGGGAAGGGGGGGAUAAAUUAGGACUAUGGGAUUAAUAGAUACACACCACUAAUAUAUAAAAUAAACAAGAAGGAUCUACUGGAUAGCAUAGGGAAAUACUAUCUUGUAAUAACCUAUAAUGGAAAAGAAUCUGAAGCUGUACACCUGAAAUGAACACAAUCUUAUGAAUCAACUGUAGUUUAAUAAAAUUUAAAAAAACUUAAAAAAUCAUCUUUUGAGCCCUGCGUUCUUUGCACAUUUGAGUUUCUGAGCAAAAUGUCCAAAAGCAAAAGUUAAAGGUAUUUCAAAAGAAGACCUCACAGGUAUCUUGAGAAUGCAAAUUACUUCCAAUGGCGAGUGCGGGGCCCGCAGAAGCCAGAGGCUUGCGUCCCCGCCACGUGCAUUACCUGCGUCGGGGCGAGACAGUCACUGUGUGUAUCGGCCAGUGCCACGGGCAUGAGGUUCCACAGGUGGGUGAAAGGCACUGAACACUAACAAUAAAAUGACAAAGCGAAACUGAGGAGAGAGCAAGCGAGCCACCUCCCUGGAUUUGGGAAACUUUAUUGCGAACAAGAAGCCCUCACUGGAGCUGCUCUUGCCUCUGUCCUUUCACCCUCCACCAGCGGGUGUGACAGCUUCUCCAGCCUAAAUGCCAUCUCUCCUGUUCAUCCCAAAUCCACACGAAAUCACUAAGCGCUAAGCGUCACAGACCCUUCCUCGGGCACCAGCGCCUCAGCGUGGGAUGGACACGCUCCUACGGGCAGUGCCCCUGGGCCCCCGGGCGUCAUACGUGCUCCUCUGCGCCAACUUCCUGGGAACCUUGGCUGCCGGCCUCCCCGCCUCCCUGUUUCCCGCAUGUCUAAUUGUGCUUGUAUGUCGAAACCUCCUUUCCCCUCCUGCUGUGUGGACAUAUUUUUAAUGUCCGUGAUAGUCUUGUUACCUGCAUGUAACUUAAUUAACAGUGACCAACACAUUACAUACCAGGUGCUGUUCUAAACUAUGCAUAUACUAAGCCAUUUGCUCCUCGUAACCGCCCUAUGAAAGACACCAUUAUCAACAUUUUAAUGAUGAAAUUGAGGCUCAGAGGGGUUGAGAAACCUGCCCAAGGCCACACAGCUCAUAGAGGUUUGAGCCCAGGCCAUCUGGCUCCAGAGCCUGGGCUGCUAACUAACUUGCAGCUGCCUGGCCCUUUACCAGUGGUGCAUGCCAACUCUGGGCUGGUUUUGUGCGAUUAUAGCAUCACCCAGCUACCCACUGGGUGCACCUGUGCUGUGAGAUUCAGAGUCAGAUGGGUCACAUUGUCACCUGUGAAGGUUUGCUUGUGUUUGGAAAUUCUUGGUGAGGCUUAAAUUUUGUCCUGCCCACCUCGCUCAGCUUUUCCGCUUUAGCUAAAUCUCCAAACCAAGGGAGUCUGGCUUUAGAACACACCACGUUAACCCCAUCCUGACCUGUAAGCACAAAUGUAAAUAAGCAAGAUUUUAAAAGUUGCUUGGAAUUCUGGAAAGGAAGUUUAAGAGUUAAUUAAAAAACCAACCAACCAGAAACCCGUGAGAGUGUGCUUUAAAGAAAGGGUUCUAAAAAUGCUCAAUAUCGCAAAUUAUCAGAGAAAUGCAAACCAAAACUACAAUGAGGUAUCACCUCACACCAGUCAGAAUGGCCGUCAUUCCACAGUCCACAAAUGGUAAAUGCUGGAGAGGCUGUGGAGAAAAGGGAACCCUCCUGCACUGUUGGUGGGAAUGCAGUUUGGUGCAGUCACUGUGGAAAACAGUCUGGAGAUUCCUCCAAAGACUAAAAAUAGACUUACUGUAUGAUCCAGCAGUCCCACUCCUGGGCACAUAUCCAGAGGGAACCUUAAUUCAAAAAGACACCUGCACCCCAAUGUUCAUAGCAGCAGCACUAUUUACAAUAGCCAAGACAUGGAAACAACUAAAUGUCCAUGGACAGAUGACUGGAUAAAGAAGUUGUGCUGUAUUUAUACAAUGGAAUACUACUCAACCAUAAAAUGUAAUAAAAUAAUGCCAUUUCCAGCAAUAUGGACGGACCUGGAGAACGUCAUUCUGAGUGAAGCCAGAAAGCGAAGGAAAAAUACUAUAUGAUAUCACUUUUAUGUGGAAUCUAAAAAAAAGACAAACUUAUUUACAUAACAGAAACAGACUCACAGACGUAGAAAACAAACUUAUGGUUACCAGGGAGGGAAGGGGGUGGAAAGGGAUAAAUUGGGAGUUUGAGAUUUGCAGAUACUACUAUAUAUAAAACAGAUGAACAGGUUCAUACUGUAUAUCACAGGGAACCAUAUUCAAUAUCUAAUUGUAACUUAUGGUGAAAAAAAUAUGAAAAUGAAUAUGUAUAUUCAUGUAUCACUGAGUAUUAUGCUGUACACCAGAAAUCGACACAUUGUAGACUGACUACUUCAAUAAAAAUACACUAAAAAAAAAAAAGGCUUCUAAGGUGCAUAAGAA